rnacentral:tmRNA from 1 species
GGGGGCGACCUGGCUUCGACGUGGGUUGCGAAACCUUCAGGUGCAUGCCGAGGUGCAGUGCCUCGUAAAAAACUGCAAACCUAUAGUUGCCAACGACGACAACUACGCACUCGCUGCCUAAACACCAGUAGGGUGCCGUCGGACUGGAGCCGUGCCUGUGCGUCCAGAUUCCCGGCGUCGAUUCUCACAGGCUCGCGGUGAAGCGUUCCCGGCGUGGAUCCGUCAAAUCCUUACCGGGAUCGUCCAUGGUCUUCCCUGCCCGUCGGGUAGCCAUGGGCUAAAGCAAUAGGCGGGAUAAGCAUGUAGAGCCGAAGGCGGAGGACUCACGGACGCGGGUUCGAUUCCCGCCGCCUCCACCA